CCUACGGGAGGCAGCAGUAAGGAAUAUUGGUCAAUGGACGAAAGUCUGAACCAGCCAUGCCGCGUGAGGGAUGAAGGUCUCUGGAUUGUAAACCUCUCAUAGAGUCUUUGCGGUAAUAGAUGAAUAAGCACCGGCUAACUCCGUGCCAGCAGCCGCGGUAAUACGGAGGGUGCAAGCGUUAUCCGGAUUUACUGGGUUUAAAGGGUGCGUAGGUGGGUUGGUAAGUCAGUGGUGAAAUACUUUCGCUUAACGAAGGAACUGCCAUUGAUACUAUCAGUCUUGAAUACAGUGGAGGUAGGCGGAAUGCGUCAUGUAGCGGUGAAAUGCUUAGAUAUGACGCAGAACACCAAUUGCGAAGGCAGCUUGCUACCUUUAUUGACACUGAGGCACGAAAGCGUGGGGAUCAAACAGGAUUAGAUACCCUUGUAGUC
rnacentral:rRNA from 1 species